UACGGGGGGGCAAGCGUUGUUCGGAAUUACUGGGCGUAAAGCGUGCGCAGGCGGUUUUGUAAGUCUGUCGUGAAAGCCCCGGGCUUAACCUGGGAAUUGCGAUGGAGACUGCAAGGCUUGAAUCUGGCAGAGGGGGGUAGAAUUCCACGUGUAGCAGUGAAAUGCGUAGGGAUGUGGAGGAACACCGAUGGCGAAGGCAGCCCCUGGGUCAAGAUUGACGCUCAGGCACGAAAGCGUGGGGAGCAAACAGG
rnacentral:rRNA from 1 species